rnacentral:tRNA from 1 species
AAGGGCAUAGCUCAGUAAUAGAGCAUGUGCUUAGCAUGCACAAGGUCCUGGGUUCAAUCCCCGGUGCCUCUG